rnacentral:tRNA from 1 species
ACCUGGCUGGCUCAGUGGGUAGAGCCUGGGACUCUUAAUCUUGGGGUCGUGAGUUUGAGCCCCACGUUGGGCG